CAAUAAAUUAAAACUUUCAACAACGGAUCUCUUGGUUCUGGCAUCGAUGAAGAACGCAGCGAAAUGCGAUAAGUAAUGUGAAUUGCAGAAUUCAGUGAAUCAUCGAAUCUUUGAACGCACAUUGCGCCCGCCAGUAUUCUGGCGGGCAUGCCUGUUCGAGCGUCAUUUC
rnacentral:rRNA from 1 species